rnacentral:tRNA from 1 species
GACUCCGUAGCUCAGUUGGUAGAGCAACUGACUCUUAAUCAGUGGGUCGAGAGUUCGAGCCUCUCCGGGGUC